UUCAACCUAACAUCUCAAUGCAUUGCAAUGGAAACGGCGAUGGCGCCAACGCCGCCGGCGGUCACCCCUCACCCAAACCGGACUUCACCUUCCUCUCUCUCUCUCUCACCCGUCCACGCACAGGCCAAAUCGCCGCCAAACAUCCACUGUCAAGAAUUCUGAUCUGAAACCCAGGUCCAACUAAAAAAAAAUUACACCAAAUCUUGCCCUAGUCUUAUCUCCUCCAAUUAGAUCCAAAAUCCAGAAAAAAAUAAAAACAAAAAAAAUUCUCUGAUCAACCAACGUAGGGAAACUCCAAAGUCAAGCCGUAUUUUCUCUGAUUUGGGAAAUCAACCAACGAAAAUCAAGCUGCC
rnacentral:lncRNA from 1 species